rnacentral:tRNA from 1 species
GGGUGCGUAGCUCAGUUGGUUAGAGUGCCGCUUUGACAUGGCGGAGGUCACAGGUUCGAGUCCUGUCGCACCCA